rnacentral:rRNA from 1 species
GAUGAACGCUGGCGGCGUGCCUAAUACAUGCAAGUCGAGCGAACGGACGAGAAGCUUGCUUCUCUGAUGUUAGCGGCGGACGGGUGAGUAAAACGUGGAUAACCUACCUAUAAGACUGGGAUAACUUCGGGAAACCGGAGCUAAUACCGGAUAAUAUUUUGAACCGCAUGGUUCAAAAGUGAAAGACGGUCUUGAUGUCACUUAUAGAUGGAGCCGCGCUGCAUUAGCUAGUUGGUAAGGUAACGGCUUAGCAAGGCAACGAUGCAUAGCCGACCUGAGAGGGUGAUCGGCCACACUGGAACUGGGUCGCGGUCCAGACUCCUGAGGGAGGCAGCAGUAGGGAAUCUUCCGCAAUGGGCGGAAGCCUAACGGAGCAACGCCGCGUGAGUGAUGAAGGUCUUCGGAUCGUAAAACUCUGUUAUUAGGGAAGAACAUAUUUGUAAGUAACGGUGCACAUCUUGACGGUACCUAAUCAGAAAGCCACGGCUAACUACGUG